rnacentral:rRNA from 1 species
GACGUAGGAGGCAAGCGUUGUUCGGAAUUACUGGGCGUAAAGCGUCCGUAGGCGGAUCUGUAAGUGGAUAGUUAAAUCCCGGGGCUCAACCCCGUGGGUGCUACCCAGACUGCAGGUCUGGAGGUCGGCAGAGGGUGAUGGAAUUCCCGGUGUGGCGGUGAAAUGCGUAGAUAUCGGGAGGAACACCAGUGGCGUAAGCGAUCACCUGGGCUAGACCUGACGCUGAGGGACGAAGGCGUGGGGAGCAAACGGG